rnacentral:rRNA from 1 species
UACAGCGGGUGCGAGCGUUAAUCGGAAUUACUGGGCGUAAAGCGCGCGUAGGCGGCUUUGCAAGUCGGGUGUGAAAUCCCCAGGCUUAACCUGGGAACUGCAUUCGAGACUGCAUUGCUAGAGUAUGGGAGAGGGAAGUGGAAUUUCCGGUGUAGCGGUGAAAUGCGUAGAUAUCGGAAGGAACAUCAGUGGCGAAAGCGACUUCCUGGACCAAUACUGACGCUCAUGUGCGAAAGCGUGGGGAGCAAACAGG